rnacentral:tRNA from 1 species
UAGAAAGUGGUGUAGUGGAAGCACGGAGAGUUUUGACGUCUCAAGGAAGGGUUCGAACCCCUUUUUUCUAA